rnacentral:rRNA from 1 species
CCUACGGGCGGCAGCAGUGAGGAAUAUUGGUCAAUGGGCGAGAGCCUGAACCAGCCAAGUCGCGUGAGGGAAGAAGGUCCUAUGGAUUGUAAACCUCUUCUGCCGGGGAGAAAAAAGGCCUCGUGAGGCAACAAGUGAGAGUACGCGCAGACAAAGGAACGGCUCACUCCGUGCCAGCAGCCGCGGUCAUACGGAGGAUGCGAGCGUUAUUCGGAUUUAGUGGGUUUAACGGGUGCGUAGGCGGACUGGAAAGUCAGCGGGAAAAUCGAGAGGCUCAACCUCUUUCCGCCGUUGAAACUGUCGGUCUUGAGUGGGCGAGAGGUGUGCGGAAUGCGUGGUGUAGCAGUGAAAUGCGUAGAUAUCACGCAGAACACCGGUGGCGAAGGCAGCAUACCGGCGCCCGACUGACGCUGAGGCACGAAAGCGUGGGUAGCGAACAGGAUUAGAUACCCGGGUAGUC